UCGGGAAUUUUGGGCAAUGGGCGAAAGCCUGACCCAGCAACGCCGCGUGAAGGAUGAAGUAUUUCGGUAUGUAAACUUCGUAAGAAUAGGAAGAAUAAAUGACGGUACUAUUUGUAAGGUCCGGCUAACUACGUGCCAGCAGCCGCGGUAAUACGUAGGGACCAAGCGUUGUUCGGAUUUACUGGGCGUAAAGGGCGCGUAGGCGGCGUGGUAAGUCAUCUGUGAAAUCUCCGAGCUUAACUCGGAACGGUCAGAUGAUACUGCUGUGCUAGAGUACAGAAAGGGCAAUCGGAAUUCUUGGUGUAGCGGUGAAAUGCGUAGAUAUCAAGAGGAACACCUGAGGCGAAGGCGGGUUGCCAGGCUGAUACUGACGCUGAGGCGCGAAAGCUAGGGUAGCAAACGGGAUUAGAUACCCGUGUAGUCCCUGAGCGGGCUGGCAAGGCGCAU
rnacentral:rRNA from 1 species